rnacentral:rRNA from 1 species
UACGUAGGGUGCAAGCGUUAAUCGGAAUUACUGGGCGUAAAGCGUGCGCAGGCGGUUAUGUAAGAGAGGCGUGAAAUCCCCGGGCUUAACCUGGGAACUGCGCUUCUAACUGGCAGGCUUGAGUGUGGCAGAGGGGGGUGGAAUUCCACGUGUAGCAGUGAAAUGCGUAGAGAUGUGGAGGAACACCGAUGGCGAAGGCAGCCCCCUGGGCUGAGAUUGACGCUCAGGCACGAAAGCGUGGGGAGCAAACAGG